rnacentral:lncRNA from 1 species
AUGUCCACAUACAUCUUGGUGGUCGUAAGUUCCUGUCUUAUUUCAGCUAAUAUGCUUUUUAUUUGUGAAAGCAGCAUAAUAAACUCCCGUGGAAUACUGUGGAAUCAAUCUCCAGGCUCUCCAGUGAAUAGACACAGGAUAAAGCCCCAUUGCCCUCCGUAUACCAAUGGGAAGGGAGAAAAUCACUGCCUGGCUCAGAUCUGUGGGCUUUGCGUUGAAGACUGGUAUUUGCACCCUGAUGAUAGGGUGCAUUGCCCACCAGCAAGGAAGGCCACUGUGGAUACAGUCCUGAGGGUGGCACACACUGGUCUCUGCUGCUUCAGCCUGUGAAAACCUACACGGUCAAACCCCCUCCCAUCAGGUCAGUGUCACGAAUGUCCCCCUUUUACUGCAGAACGAAUACAGAGCGGGAAGGCCCCAGCCGCAUGCAAGCUCAGGAGACCAACUGUGAAAGGCAAGGGAGGAGAAAGAUGGGCUUCUUUCAGGGUGCAGUCUCUUACUUCUACCCCAGAAGCCCCCCAGUAACCCACAGUUCAAACUGCAGUUGCAGUGAGACAUCUUUUAGAUUAAAUAGUGUUGAGUGUGGUAUCUUUUGG